rnacentral:rRNA from 1 species
UACGAAGGGGGCUAGCGUUGUUCGGAAUUACUGGGCGUAAAGGGCGCGUAGGCGGUACUUCAAGUCAGGCGUGAAAGCCCCGGGCUCAACCUGGGAACCGCGCUUGAGACUGGAGAACUAGAGUUCGGGAGAGGAUGGUGGAAUUCCCAGUGUAGAGGUGAAUUUCGUAGAUAUUGGGAAGAACACCGAUGGCGAAGGCAGCCAUCUGGACCGACACUGACGCUGAGGCGCGAAAGCGUGGGGAGCAAACAGG